rnacentral:snRNA from 1 species
AAGCGUCCUCAGCGACGGACCGG